UAUUAAUGAAUUAUAGUGUGGUGUUUAUACUUUGGAGAUUGCUCUAUUAGCGGUGACUCACGCGUUAUAACUUUAUUAAUUGAUUUAUGCACUCUUUAACAGCCGGGUCAACAUCAGUUAUUACCACGUCCGAAAAGUCUUGGGGCGGGAAAUGUAGCAUUGGUAAUGGCUUGUCUGUUACUUUUGAACUUAUAGACCCCUUGUACGAGGAUGUUAAUGACUGAGGAUAAUCGACUCGUGCGUUUCGGCGCAGGGCGUAUUAGGCUAGUCAAGGUCGCACGUAACGCUAGACAGCUUGCUGAUUAGUGUUAUCUGUACCACAUGGUCGAUGCGAUCGCUAGUUUAAUACAAGCCACUAGCGAGUCUAUGAAUGUUGACGAAAUGGUAUUCAACGACCCGUCUUGAAACACGGACCAAGGAGUCUAACAUGUCUGCGAGUGUUUGGGUGGAAAACCCUUACGCGGAAUGAAAGUAACGAGGCAAGUUUCGCGCUUGUCCACUGGUAGGAAUCGAAGCGUUUCGGCGCGACGAGGCACUACCGACCGACCUGUUACCCUCUGUGGUGGUAGGUUUGAGUUGGAGCAGUCCUGUUAGGACCCGAAAGAUGGUGAACUAUGCCUGAGCAGGAUGAAGUCAGAGGAAACUCUGAUGGAGGUCCGUAGCGGUUCUGACGUGCAAAUCGAUCGUCGGACUUGGGUAUAG
rnacentral:rRNA from 1 species